rnacentral:rRNA from 1 species
CCAAGGCGACGAUCGGUAGCCGGCCUGAGAGGGUGAUCGGCCACAUUGGGACUGAGAUACGGCCCAGACUCCUACGGGAGGCAGCAGUAGGGAAUAUUGCACAAUGGGGGAAACCCUGAUGCAGCAACGCCACGUGUGGGAAGGAGCAUUUCGGUGUGUAAACCACUGUCAUGAGGGAAUAAGGCCCUUAUCCGUAAGGGAUUGAAUGUACCUUGAGAGGAAGCACCGGCAAAUUCGUGCCAGCAGCCGCGGUAAUACGAGGGGUGCAAGCGUUGUUCGGAAUUACUGGGCGUAAAGGGAGCGUAGGCGAAGAUUCAAGCGGAUUGUACAAUCCCGGGGCCCAACCCCGGCUCUGCAGUCCGAACUGGAUCUCUUGGAUAGUUCAGGGGCAGGCGGAAUUCCUGGUGUAGCGGUGGAAUGCGUAGAGAUCAGGAAGAACACCGAUGGCGAAGGCAGCCUGCUGGGGACUCAUCGACGCUGAGGCUCGAAAGUGCGGGUAGCAAACAGGAUUAGAUACCCUGGUAGUCCGCACCGUAAA